rnacentral:rRNA from 1 species
UACAGAGGGGGCAAGCGUUGUUCGGAAUUACUGGGCGUAAAGCGUGCGCAGGCGGCUUUGCAAGACAGGUGUGAAAUCCCCGGGCUUAACCUGGGAACUGCGCUUGUUACUGAUAGGCUUGAGUGUGGGCAGAGGGGGUGGAAGUUCCACGUGUAGCAGUGAAAUGCGUAGAGAUGUGGAGGAACACCGAUGGCGAAGGCAGCCCCCUGGGCUAACACUGACGCUCAUGCACGAAAGCGUGGGGAGCAAACAGG